rnacentral:misc_RNA from 1 species
GAAAUGCGAUAGGUAGUGUGAAUUGCAGAAUUCAGUGAAUCAUCGAAUCUUUGAACGCACAUUGCGCCCUUUGGUAUUCCUUAGGGCAUGCCUGUUCGAGCGUCAUCUAAACCUUCAAGCCCUGCUUGGUGUUGGGUGCCUGUCCCGCCUCCGCGCGCGGACUCACCUCAAAUCCAUUGGCGGCCCCCGCGUCGGCCACGAGCGCAGCAGAAACGCGAACUCGUGAGCCCGUCCGGGCGGCUCCCAGAAGCUACACCCACCCAGUUUGACCUCGGAUCAGGUAGGGAUACCCGCUGAACUUAAGC